rfam:Nematostella vectensis strain CH2 x CH6 NEMVEscaffold_253_Cont20981, whole genome shotgun sequence.
CAUGCGAUAGCUCAGUUGGUAGAGCGGGGGACUGUAGAUUUAUAAUUGUGAUCUCUAGGUCGCUGGUUAAAAUCCGGCUUGAAGGA